GCAUCGGAACGUGCCCAGAAGUGGGGGAGUAGCCCGGCGAAAGACCGGAUUAAUACCGCAUGAGACCUGAGGGUGAAAGCGGGGGAGUCGCAAGACCUCGCGCUUUUGGAGCGGCCGAUGUCAGAUUAGCUAGUUGGUGGGGUAAAAGCCUACCAAGGCGACGAUCUGUAGCUGGUCUGAGAGGACGACCAGCCACACUGGGACUGAGACACGGCCCAGACUCCUACGGGAGGCAGCAGUGGGGAAUUUUGGACAAUGGGCGCAAGCCUGAUCCAGCCAUGCCGCGUGCGGGAAGAAGGC
rnacentral:rRNA from 1 species